UAGGCGGUGGGUUGUAAUUCCAUUUAUAGGGUAAGUUCCCUCUUUUACAU
rnacentral:tRNA from 1 species